GAGCAGAGCCCCAACUCUGUGCCUUGUGUGCGGAUCUCUGCUGUGCUCCCAGAGUUACUGCUGCCAGACUGAACUGGAAGGGGAGGAUGUAGGAGCCUGCACAGCUCACACCUACUCCUGUGGCUCUGGAGUGGGCAUCUUCCUGAGAGUACGGGAAUGUCAGGUGCUAUUUUUAGCUGGCAAAACCAAAGGCUGUUUUUAUUCUCCUCCUUACCUUGAUGACUAUGGGGAGACCGACCAGGGACUCAGGUAAGAACCCAUCCUGAGUUAGCUAACUCAGGGCCUGCAGCGCCCUUCCGUAUGUGGUGACGUCCUGAGGGUGGAGG
rnacentral:lncRNA from 1 species